rnacentral:lncRNA from 1 species
UACUAUCCACAGGCCCGAGGUAUCCAGUUACUGGCAUCCUCAACUCAACAACUCCUGUAAUGGGCUGGCACCCCAAAUCCAGACUGCACGGUGCCAAGCAGCCUCUGUUGACAAGGCUGCUCUCUCAUGCCAGUUGCAUACAAAGGCGGGGUGAUGGCAGGAAGACCCUUCUUCGGGGACGCACACUGGAAAGCAGGCCCAGUUACUGCUGCCCUGGCUCCCCUCCCCGGGGAUGAAAGGGAUCUCAGCCAAGAACGCAGACGAGGAGAGGGAAAAGGAUCUCUCCUCCCCUAUGUGUCCACUGCGACUGCCUUCUCUGCCAGGAAGCCUUCUGUGACCACCUCUCCAAUUCUGGGUCAGUCUCUCCGUCCUCUCACCUCCAGUGCCCCUUGGGAUCUGAUCCACUCCCUUGACAGGCAAUGGCCUUGUCCAGCUGUCCAACGGGAAUACAAUGGGAAGAAAGUAUUCUUAAAGAUGAUUCACAUAAAAUCUGAACAGUGAUGAGGCCAGCUCCCCUGCGCAUUCUAACGCGGAGCGGAGGGCGCCAGGAGCAGGGGUGGGAUGACCCCGGGCCAGAGUGGACAAACCUCCUGUUCCUGGAGCCGGUGCCCUGUGAGGAUGCGGACGUGGGCUUCAGAUAAGAGUGGAGGCGCCUGUCCGCCCUGGGAAAGCUCUGCGCGGACGUGAUGCCGAAGAUUUCUGGAAACGUCGUCGCACUGAGUAAGGCCUUUCCUGGGACCCACAGUCGGUCUGACUGGAAGGCUUAACUGCGGCUUCUUACUGGGGCCCUCCUCCGCAUUCCCCCUCUCGUGUGUCGUGGAACGUGUCAGGGACUGGAGAGCUUCCAGAAUGUGUCCGAAUACACCUCUGAGCUCAAGUUUCUUCUGUUUUUUGUUUGUUUUUGUUUUCUUAGUAUUAC